UUCCGGACCUGACUGCUAUCGGAUUGGUACUAAGCCAUGCGAGUCAUUGUAGCAAUACAACGGACGGCUCAGUAACACGUAGUCAACCUAACUCGUGGACGUGGAUAACCUCGGGAAACUUAACCUCGGGAAACUGAGAAUAAUGCCCGAUAGAACAUUAUGCCUGGAAUGGUUUAUGUUCCAAAUGAUUUAUCGCCGUAGGAUGGGGCUGCGGCCUAUCAGUUUGUUGGUGAGGUAAUGGCCCACCAAGACUAUUACAGGUACGGGCUCUGAGAGGAGUAGCCCGGAGAUGGGUACUGAGACACGGACCCAGGCCCUAUGGGGCGCAGCAGGCGAGAAAACUUUGCAAUGUGCGAAAGCACGACAAGGUUAAUCCGAGUGGUUCCUGCUAAAGGAACCUUUUGUUAGUCCUAGAACCACUAACGAAUAAGGGGUGGGCAAGUCUGGUGUCAGCCGCCGCGGUAAAACCAGCACCUCAAGUGGUCAGGAUGAUUAUUGGGCCUAAAGCAUCCGUAGCCUGCUCUGUAAGUUUUCGGUUAAAUCUGUACGCUUAACGUACAGGCUGCCGGGAAUACUGCAAAGCUAGGGAGUGGGAGAGGUAGACGGUACUCGGUAGGAAGUGGUAAAAUGCUUUGAUCUAUCGAUGACCACCUGUGGCGAAGGCGGUCUACCANAACACGUCCGACGGUGAGGGAUGAAAGCUGGGGGAGCAAACCGGAUUAGAUACCCGGGUAGUCCCAGUUGUAAACUAUGCAAACUCAGUGAUGCAUUGGCUUGUGGUCCCAGCUGUAAACGAUGCAGACUCGGUGAUGCAUUGGCUUGUGGCCAAUGCAGUGCCGCAGGGAAGCCGUUAAGUCUGCCGCCUGGGAGGUACGUACGCAAGUAUGAAACUUAAA
rnacentral:rRNA from 1 species